AAUUAUGGGUCUCUGGGUUAACCAUUAUCCGCGGAGGGAAAUUGUUCGGCAAACACUUGCCCUUUCAUUCUGCUCCGUGGAGGCGAGCCACGUUUAAUGGACGCUAAGGAAGAGCGAGGGUGUAAAAAAGGACGGAGGAAACCAGAUGAAAUAAGUGGCAGGUUCGUCUAUGUUCCGCGACAAGAAGAUUGUUUAGGACCAUUUCUGAGGACAGAUAAACUGCGCGGGGGGUAAAGCGACUUUAUCUCUUCCUUAUCCGACUUUGAAAGGGCUGCGCCCGCCAGGAACUGGAAACUACAACGCUCUACGGUCUAAUUUACCAGGAGAGACGUCACGAUUGUGCAAAUAUUUUCUAACGGACGGGAGUAAUGUGCGUUCCCGUUGCUGCAUGUUGGUUGGAGGACUUGAUAAGGGUUCCACUCGGAGCGUAGGAUCUUUUUAUGAAUUCUAAAACUGUUGUGUGUUCACGGUGGCCGGGCAGAGGCCGGGGAAAAGGAUAAAGCGAUGAGAAUAGAAGCGAGAAUCGGAAUGGGAAUGGAAUCUGGCGGGGCGCAUGCGCCAGCCACGUUCAUUCACUCCACCGAAUCAUUCAUAAAUCCCUGAGUCCUACGCUUGUUCGUACAAUUAACAAUGAAACCGUGCGUUGCAACCGAGACGAACCAAACUCUACAAACUGCACUAGUAUCGUACAGUUUGGAGGUUCAGUUUCAUCCUGUCAUGCACGGUACGCUUGUAUUUCGAGGAAAGUUUGAAUUCAACGAAGAGAACGGAAGCGAUACAAGUAUCUGCGGUUUCUCGAUCGAAGGUACGGUCGAUGCACGGUUAUUAGGGACCAUGUGACGAUUGCUGAACGAUCAUGCGAGCGAGUGGACGCGCCGUCAGACCCUCUCCUAAUCGAACCGAUCGACGAAAGUCGAGCAGCUUUUGUUUUUGCGACGUAAUCACGAUGAGACGACGCCUUCGAUUCAGAUGUAAUUGACGCGUCGACCGCACACGCGCUCAGCCAGAUACAGCGGGGAUGAAGAAAGUGAAGAUAUACCGGAUUCGAGAAAAGUAGGGACGGAAUCAAACCGACACGUGUGCUCGAGAAACAAUUAAGCGCAAGACCGUGUAUUUCGAUGAAUUAAAAAGCUGUUCGUUGAUAUUUACAAUUCAAUUUGAUCAGAUUAACUCUCUAGUAGAGAUUUGAUAUAUAAUUCAAUAAUAUACGUUAUUUUGACGAGAAUAUUUAUAUAGUAUUUCAUAAUUACAUUAAACCUACCAUUCAACUCACAAUUAAAUUUCUUAG